rnacentral:rRNA from 1 species
CCUACGGGUGGCAGCAGUGAGGAAUAUUGGUCAAUGGGCUUACGCCUGAACCAGCCAAGUCGCGUGAGGGAAGACGGUCCUAUGGAUUGUAAACCUCUUUAGGCGGGGAGCAAUGCCGGGCACGCGUGCCCGGAGGGAGAGUACCCGCAGAAUAAGCAUCGGCUAACUCCGUGCCAGCAGCCGCGGUAAUACGGGGGAUGCCAGCGUUAUCCGGAUUUAUUGGGUUAAAGGUGUGCGUAGGGGGAUUUUUAAGUCAGCGGUAAAAUGUCCGGGCUCAACCCGGGCCGGCCGUUGAAACUGGGGAUCUAGAGUGGGCGAGAGGUAUGCGGAAUGCGUGGUGUAGCGGUGAAAUGCAUAGAUAUCGGGAGGAACACUCGUGGCGAAGGCGGGUUCCUGGACAUUAACUGACGCUGAGGCACGAAGGCCAGGGGAGCGAAAGGGAUUAGAUACCCUGGUAGUC